rnacentral:rRNA from 1 species
UACAGAGGUUUCAAGCGUUGUUCGGAUUCAUUGGGCGUAAAGGGUGCGUAGGCGGGCAGGUAAGUCAGUGGUGAAAUCUCCGGGCUUAACCCGGAAACUGCCAUUGAUACUCUCUGUCUUGAAUAUGGUGGAGGUAAGCGGAAUAUGUCAUGUAGCGGUGAAAUGCUUAGAGAUGACAUAGAACACCUAUUGCGAAGGCAGCUUACUACGCCUAUAUUGACGCUGAGGCACGAAAGCGUGGGGAUCAAACAGG